rnacentral:rRNA from 1 species
CAGCCGCCGCGGGAAUACGUAGGUGGCAAGCGUUGUCCGGAAUUAUUGGGCGUAAAGGGCUCGCAGGCGGUUUCUUAAGUCUGAUGUGAAAGCCCCCGGCUCAACCGGGGAGGGUCAUUGGAAACUGGGAAACUUGAGUGCAGAAGAGGAGAGUGGAAUUCCACGUGUAGCGGUGAAAUGCGUAGAGAUGUGGAGGAACACCAGUGGCGAAGGCGACUCUCUGGUCUGUAACUGACGCUCAUGCACGAAAGCGUGGGGAGCAAACAGGAUUAGAUACCCCUGUAGUCCCUGUCUCUUAUAC